rnacentral:misc_RNA from 1 species
UGGUUCUGGCAUNGAUGAAGAACGCAGCGAAAUGCGAUAAGUAAUGUGAAUUGCAGAAUUCAGUGAAUCAUCGAAUCUUUGAACGCACAUUGCGCCCCUUGGUAUUCCGGGGGGCAUGCCCGUUCGAGCGUCAUUUCACCACGCAAGCCUGGCUUGGUAUUGGGCCCCGGGGGCGACCCGGGCCCAAAAGUCGUCGGCCGGACCGCCUGAAUCUCAGCGUCGUGAAUCAAAUUCGCUGGCGAGUCGGGGGGUGCGCGCCGGAAAACAUCUUCUUUAGGUUGACCUCGGAUCGGGUAGGGAUACCCGCUGA